rnacentral:rRNA from 1 species
UACGUAGGGUGCAAGCGUUGUCCGGAAUUAUUGAGCGUAAAGAGCUCGUAGGCGGUUUGUCGCGUCUGCUGUGAAAACCCGAGGCUCAACCUCGGGCCUGCAGUGGAUACGGGCAGACUAGAGUGCGGUAGGGGAGAUUGGAAUUCCUGGUGUAGCGGUGGAAUGCGCAGAUAUCAGGAGGAACACCGAUGGCGAAGGCAGAUCUCUGGGCCGUAACUGACGCUGAGGAGCGAAAGCAUGGGGAGCGAACAGG